CGGGGGCCCGCACAAGCGGUGGAGCAUGUGGUUUAAUUCGAUGCAACGCGAAGAACCUUACCUACUCUUGACAUCCAGAGAAUUUGCUAGAGAUAGCUUAGUGCCUUCGGGAACUCUGAGACAGGUGCUGCAUGGCUGUCGUCAGCUCGUGUUGUGAAAUGUUGGGUUAAGUCCCGCAACGAGCGCAACCCUUAUCCUUUGUUGCCAGCGAGUAAUGUCGGGAACUCAAAGGAGACUGCCGGUGAUAAACCGGAGGAAGGUGGGGAUGACGUCAAGUCAUCAUGGCCCUUACGAGUAGGGCUACACACGUGCUACAAUGGCAUAUACAAAGAGAAGCGAACUCGCGAGAGCAAGCGGACCUCAUAAAGUAUGUCGUAGUCCGGAUUGGAGUCUGCAACUCGACUCCAUGAAGUCGGAAUCGCUAGUAAUCGUAGAUCAGAAUGCUACGGUGAAUACGUUCCCGGGCCUU
rnacentral:rRNA from 1 species